AGCGAACGCUGGCGGCAGGCUUAACACAUGCAAGUCGAGCGGGCACUUUCGGGUGUCAGCGGCGGACGGGUGAGUAACGCGUGGGAACGUGCCCUCUGGUUCGGAAUAACUCAGGGAAACUUGAGCUAAUACCGGAUACGCCCUUUUGGGGAAAGGCUUGCUGCCGGAGGAUCGGCCCGCGUCUGAUUCGCUAGUUGGUGAGGUAACGGCUCACCAAGGCGACGAUCAGUAGCUGGUCUGAGAGGAUGAUCAGCCACACUGGGACUGAGACACGGCCCAGACUCCUACGGGAGGCAGCAGUGGGGAAUAUUGGACAAUGGGCGCAAGCAUGAUCCAGCCAUGCCGCGUGAGUGAUCAAGGCCUUAGGGUUGUAAAGCUCUUUUAUCCGGGACGAUAAUGACGGUACCGGAGGAAUAAGCCCCGGCUAACUUCGUG
rnacentral:rRNA from 1 species